AAUGAGCUAGCUUAACCCUGAUUGCGACAGGCUUAAUACAGUCAUGUUGGAUCUCCUAUUCGUUCUGCUACCAGGAAGAGAAAGAAAGACUGAUUGCGACAGCUCAACCGGAUGAGACAUCUCUUAUUUACAGAACUGUGCCAACCGUGCCUUCCUACCAACUCCGCCAACCCCAGACGGGGAUAUUGAUUUAGCCGCACCUGAACCCGCAACUGCUGCCUCUACUCCGCCUACUUCUUGUGCCGACUUCGACUGCCUUAUUUCGGGUGAAGAGUAAGGGGUGGUAGGCUUAGUAGGGCUCGAACCUACA
rnacentral:sRNA from 1 species